UAAAUAGCCCGUAUUGCUUUGGCAGUACGCUGGCUUCUUAGAGGGACUAUCGGCUCAAGCCGAUGGAAGUUUGAGGCAAUAACAGGUCUGUGAUGCCCUUAGAUGUUCUGGGCCGCACGGUAUGUACUCACUUUUCUUACCCCUCUUACACCCUCUGAACCAUAAGCUAACUUUUUACAGCGCGUUACACUGACAGAGCCAGCGAGUACUUCCUUG
rnacentral:rRNA from 1 species